GUGGAGCAAAACUCAAAAAAAUAAGUCUCAGUUCGGAUUGAAGGCUGAAAUUCGCCUUCAUGAAGCCGGAAUUGCUAGUAAUGGCAGGUCAGCAUACUGCCGUGAAUACGUUCCCGGGCCUUGUACACACCGCCCGUCACACCAUGAGAGUUGGGAAUACCCGAAGCCUGUGAGCUAACUUUUAGAGGCAGCAGUCGAAGGUAGAAUCAAUGAUUGGGGUGAAGUCGUAACAAGGUAAC
rnacentral:rRNA from 1 species